AUUGAACGCUGGCGGCAGGCCUAACACAUGCAAGUCGAGCGGAUGAAGGGAGCUUGCUCCUGGAAUCAGCGGCGGACGGGUGAGUAAUGCCUAGGAAUCUGCCUGGUAGUGGGGGAUAACGUCCGGAAACGGGCGCUAAUACCGCAUACGUCCUGAGGGAGAAAGUGGGGGAUCUUCGGACCUCACGCUAUCAGAUGAGCCUAGGUCGGAUUAGCUAGUUGGUGGGGUAAAGGCCUACCAAGGCGACGAUCCGUAACUGGUCUGAGAGGAUGAUCAGUCACACUGGCACUGAGACACGGUCCAGACUCCUACGGGAGGCAGCAGUGGGGAAUAUUGGACAAUGGGCGAAAGCCUGAUCCAGCCAUGCCGCGUGUGUGAAGAAGGUCUUCGGAUUGUAAAGCACUUUAAGUUGGGAGGAAGGGCAGUAAGUUAAUACCUUGCUGUUUUGACGUUACCAACAGAAUAAGCACCGGCUAACUUCGUG
rnacentral:rRNA from 1 species